GGAUUGCCCUAGUAACGGCGAAGUGAAGCGGCAACAGCUCAAAUUUGAAAUCUGGCUUCGGCCCGAGUUGUAAUUUGCAGAGGAUGUUUAUGGUGCGGUACCUUCCGAGUUCCCUGGAACGGGACGCCACAGAGGGUGAGAGCCCCGUCUGGUUGGAUACCAAACCUGUGUUAAACUCCUUCAACGAGUCGAGUAGUUUGGGAAUGCUGCUCUAAAUGGGAGGUAAAUCUCUUCUAAAGCUAAAUACCGGCCAGAGACCGAUAGCGCACAAGUAGAGUGAUCGAAAGAUGAAAAGCACCUUGAAAAGGGGGUUAAACAGUACGUGAAAUUGUUAAAAGGGAAGCGUUUAUGACCAGACUUGUGUCGUGUGGCUCAUCCGAGGUUCUCCCCGGUGCACUCCACACGGCUCAGGCCAACAUCGGUUUUCGUUGGGGGAUAAGAACAGUAGGAACGUGGCCCUUUUCGGAGGGUGUUAUAGCCUGCUGUACGAUACCCUGAUGGGGACCGAGGACCGCGCUUCGGCUAGGAUGUUGGCGUAAUGGUCAUUAGCGACCCGUCUUGAAACACGGACCAAGGAGUCGUCCAUUAGAGCGAGCGUUUGGGUGUAAAACCCGCACGCGUAAUGAAAGUGAAAUUAGGUGAGAGCUUCGGCGCAUCAUCGACCGAUCCUGAAGUUUACGGAUGGAUUUGAGUAAGAGUUUUAACGGACGGACCCGAAAGACAGUGAACUAUGCUUGAAUAGGGUGAAGCCAGAGGAAACUCUGGUGGAGGCUCGCAGCGGUUUCUGACGUGCAAAUC
rnacentral:rRNA from 1 species